CGAUAUCGACGAGUUGAUCCUGGCUCAGAACGAACGCUGGCGGCAGGCCUAACACAUGCAAGUCGAGCGCCCGCAAGGGAGGCGGCGCACGGGUGAGUAACGCGUGGGAAUAUGCCCUGGGGCGUGGGGAGUAACGGCGGGAAACUGCCGCUAAUACCCGGUACGCCAUGAGUGGGAAAGGAGCAAUCCGCCCUGGGAGUAGCCCGCGUUGGAUUAGCUAGUUGGUGUGGUAAGAGCGCACCAAGGCGACGAUCCAUAGCUGGUCUGAGAGGAUGAUCAGCCACACUGGGACUGAGACACGGCCCAGACUCCUACGGGAGGCAGCAGUGGGGGAAUAUUGGACAAUGGGGGGCAACCCUGAUCCAGCCAUGCCGCGUGAGUGAAGAAGGCCCUAGGGUUGUAAAGCUCUUUCGCACGCGACGAUGAUGACGGUAGCGUGAGAAGAAGCCCGGCUAACUUCGUG
rnacentral:rRNA from 1 species